UACGGGGGGGGCUAGCGUUGUUCGGAAUUACUGGGCGUAAAGGGCGCGUAGGCGGCCUACUAAGUCGGACGUGAAAUCCCUCGGCUCAACCGGGGAACUGCGUCCGAUACUGGUGGGCUCGAAUCCGGGAGAGGGAUGCGGAAUUCCAGGUGUAGCGGUGAAAUGCGUAGAUAUCUGGAGGAACACCGGUGGCGAAGGCGGCAUCCUGGACCGGCAUUGACGCUGAGGAGCGAAAGCCAGGGGAGCAAACGGG
rnacentral:rRNA from 1 species